CAGAUGGUUCAAACCUUCCCUCUGUGAAAUGGAAUUCAGUAUUUAUAAUGAACAUCAUCAGGUUGAUUCUGGUGGUCCUGAUGCUGAUUCCUCUUCUUCUAUUGAUUCUGUGGACGAGGAAGAAGAAAACUCUGAGCUCCACCAC